UUUGAAAUUUUCUCGCAAGCAUAACAGAGGCUACACCGCACUAUUUUCGGAGAAUCUCGACUUCGCUUCCAGCUCCAAAGGUGACUCAAAAGAGAGUUUUUAAUGUUGGCCCUUUAGAUGACCCAACUCAAAGUAAUUUGAACCAAUGGCCUCCAGAAGAUAUCCUUCCAUCUUGGAGGCCUGCAGUGGAAUCGUACUAUAGAAAAGUAAUGUAAGUUAUAUUCUCCUUUGUAACAAUUUACUUCCCAGCAUUCUGCACUUAGUAAAGUAAGAACUGUUGUUCAGGAAUGAUAAUUGAUAGUUGUUCA